rnacentral:rRNA from 1 species
UCCGACGGUGAGGGGCGAAGGCUGGGGGCGCAAACCGGAUUAGAUACCCGGGUAGUCCCAGCAGUAAACGAUGCCAGCUAUGUGUUGCUGGAACCAUGGGUUCCAGCAGUGCCGAAGGGAAGCCGUGAAGCUGGCCACCUGGGAAGUACGGUCGCAAGGCUGAAACUUAAAGGAAUUGGCGGGGGAGUACCACAACCGGUGGAGCCUGCGGUUUAAUUGGAUACAACGCCGGGAAUCUUACCGGAGGGGACAGCAGUAUGAAGGCCAGGCUAAAGACCUUGCCAGAUCAGCUGAGAGGAGGUGCAUGGCCGUCGCCAGUUCGUACCGUGAGGCAUCCUGUUUAGUCAGGCAACGAUCGAGACCCGCAGUCUUAUUUGCCAGCAUGCCCUUUGGGGUGUAUGGGUACAAUAAGGCGACCGCCAGCGCUAAGCUGGAGGAAGGAGCGGGCUACGGUAGGUCAGCAUGCCCCGAAUCCUCCGGGAUACACGCGGGCUACAAUGGUCAGGACAAAAGGUACCGACCUCGAAAGAGUGAGGUAAUCCACAAACCUGAUCUCAGUCCGGAUCGAAGGCUGCAACUCGCCUUCGUGAAGAUGGAAUCGGUAGUAAUCGUGACUCAAAAUGUCACGGUGAAUAUGUCCCUGCUCCUUGC